AAAAUUCUCAACCAUGCUGGUUCUUCUGGCAUGGCUUGGAUUUGGGGGGUCUGCAGGCUUUAAAGUCGGCUCCCCUGAAAAGGAUUAGCGGUAUCUGAGCAGACACGGCGUGAUAAUUAUCUAUGCUGUUGGCAUGCGCAAGAAUCCUGCUUCUAAACCCGAGUGUUGAAAA
rnacentral:misc_RNA from 1 species